GGCGAGCAGAGAGGCUCUGAAAAGCUUGCAGCUCCGGGCUCAAGGGAGAUGAGACUUCACUCUUACUGCGUAGGAGACACAGGAGACUGAAAUCUCUCUACUUCGUGGCCCAGAGGAAGACUCCCAGGUGGUUUUGGCUGGUACAAACAUCCUGGACAGACAGAUGGGGUCUUAGCCUUGGAUCUUCAGUCUGGAGAUUUCCCUCCCUCGAGAUCUGCCUCAGAACCUGCUUCUCAAGGCUCAACCUCAACUGUUUCUGUUUAUUUCCCCAGCCUCUCCCAGGUUAGUCCAUUCCUCUUUUCCCAUAUUUCAGCUGCAUUGACUUUUCCUCCUCAUCAAACACAGCUCCUUUCCUACCCUAUAGUCUCUCCCGGCCUGGUGCCCCACCCCACCCUGGGCUCCAUGGCUCCGUCUCCUUCAGACCCUCAUGGACUCCCUCUUCAGAGGGGACUAUCUUAUCCUACACACACUCUCUCUUGUUACUCUCCACUUCAUUAACUUUGUUUACUUCCUUCAUCUAAGUUGUCGCAAUUGGAUACUUUCUUUCCUCCUUUCCUUGACUGUUAUGUUGGUCUCUCCAGCUAGAAAGGAAGUUCCACAGAGCAGACCUUGUUCUUUCUUCCUCUUUGGUGGACCUUGAUUCUCUUGCACCCAGGACAGCACCCAGACCAUAGCAAGCACACAGUAGAUAAUUCAUUGAGUGAAUCCGAGUGUAUUUAAUCAUCCAAGUCAGGUGCUUGGAGACUCCAUUCUUCUCUUUCAGCCUCUCCGAGGGCUAUUCAUCAAACCCUAUCGAUUCUGCCUCAAACAGGACUCUUCAGCCUGUCCUCUGUCUUUCUUUGCUACAGUUGGUGUCCUGGUCCUGGCUUUGAAGAACAGUGGGAAGACUCCAUGGUACCCAUUCUGUGAUCUGAGGGUGGUUAAUUUCCUGGUGCGACCAAACUCAAGGUUUAGAUGACAAGUGGAAUUUUACUUUUCAAGCUCACCAACUCCGCCAUCAGAUCUAACCCACUAGCACCAGCUAGGGAAAUACAAAGAAACAAAGAGGUUGUUGCCUCUCCCAGGCAACUGUCUAGUUUACCAGCUUUAUCAAACAUCGAAUGAGUGAUUCCUGUAUGCACACAACGAAUUCUUUAUACCACCAACUCAUUGAAUCCCUACAGCUUGAAAAAAGAUUUAUGUGUGUGUGUAUGUGUGUGUGUGUGUGUGUGUGUGUGUGUUUGUCUGCCUAUGUGCAUGUAUGGAUACCUGUGUGUGUACGACACAGAGGAGGUGUUGGAUCCCUUGCAGGGGUUGGGGGUGGAAC
rnacentral:sRNA from 1 species